CUUACAAAUUCGCCCUCCCCUGCUCCUGCGGAACCGAAAUGGUGUGGGAUGAGGCAGGUUAGGGAAUAGCGGAGCUCGGCGGCGUCCACCGCGGUGAGCACAGCGGCCGGGUCUGCCCAGUAUGUCAGAAGCAGGUGAGGGCAAGCAGUCCACGGAGACGACGGGCGUCCCUGAGGGCGUACACGAGGCCGCCCUCGAAGGCGACUCGCUGACCUGGACUGGAGGGGUCGGGGGAGGAGGCCUGGACCGAGAGCCGGAAGGUCGCCGAGGCAGACCAGAGGACCCGCGGCAGGAACGAGGAGGUUGCCAGAAAAUUGUUUGUUGGUGGCUUGAGCUGGAAUACCAGCAAAAAGAACCCAAAACACCAUUUUACCAAAUUUGGAGAGGUCGUUGACCAUACUAUAACAAUGGAUCCCAACAUCAGAAGAUUAAGAGAGUUGGGGUUUAUCCUCUUUAAAGGUACAGCCAUUGUGGAGAAGGUCCUAGACCAGAAGGAGCACAGGUUGGAUGGCCAUAGCGUGAACCCCAAAAAGGCCAUAGCUAUGAAGAAUGAUCCUGUAAAAAAAAUCUUUGUAGGGGGUCUGAUCCCUGAAGCCACUGAGGAGAAAGAUAAGGGAGUACUUUGGCAAGUUUGGGGAGAUUGAGGCCAUUGAGUUUUCAUUGGAUUCAGAAUCUAACAAAAGACAAGGUUCUGUUUUCAUCACGUAUACAGAAGAGGAACCUGUGAGAAAUAUCCUGGAGAAGUUCCACACCAUCACUGGUAGCAAGUAUAUCAACAAUCAUGUUUUCUACAGUAUAUCAACUUCAAGUAGUGAGCUGAAUCAUGGCAACAAAAAAUGUUUCCUCUAGCUCUUAGGUACUUUGACUUGAAAAAUGGAAUUUUGAAUCAUCUUCUUGAUUUCUAUGAGGAUUUUAAUGAAACUGCUGAAAUCGUAAAACAAAAGAUUGUUGAUAUUUUGUCCAAAUACAAGCUAGACUUAGCUCACCUAUCUGCAUUUUCGUCAGGCAGUGCAAAUGUAAAUUUUGGAAAAUUUCAUUCAGUCUAUGAACUUUUUAACAAAGAAAAUGAAAGGAUCUUACCUAUUCAAUGUCCUGCAGAUCUUGUAUACAACACUGCUAAAAAGGGUUGUGAUUUUCUUAAAUGUGAUGUUGAGACUUUCAUAAUAAAAGUUUUUGGUCACUUUUCAGUUUCCUCAAAAUGUGCAGAAGCACUUAAUGAGAUUUUCGACUUUAUAGAAACACAAGGAGAUAACCUCUUUAGACAUGUGCCUACAAGAUGGAUGUCAUUGCUCCCAGCCAUAGAAAAUAUGCUAAAAUGUUGGCCUGCUAUAAAAUCUUAUUUUCAAAGUGUAGGACAAGAAGAAUGUCCUUCUUUGAUUUGGAAAUAUAUUGAAGAUGAGAAUGGAGAAAAGGAUUACAGUGAAAUAGAAGUAUAUAUGCUGUUUCUCCAAAACUGUUUGAUGAUCUUUGAAGAAGCCAUAAAGAGCCUAGAAAAGGAUGAACUGACUGCACCUGAGCUGUUUGAUACUAUGUAUAGUUUGAGACAGAAACUCAUACUGCAGAAAAAUGGUUCAGUUUUUGAAAAUAAGCCUGCUUCAGAGCUAAAAAAAAAAAAAAAAGUCACCAGAAAAGGGCAGCCAAGUUACACAGGACUUUCUUAAUUUCUUUACUAGAAUCGUAACUUAUUUGGAAUGCUACUUUGGUUUCACCAGUUCAAAUUACCUCUGUGCUUUAAAACCAUUUUCCCUGAGAAGGAAAUGUUUAACUUACAAUGACAUCCGGUGUGCUUCAGAGUGUUUAAAAAUGAUUGAUGUUUUAGAUAUGGAUAGCCUAUACGAUGAAUUUAUAGAUGCAAAGGACCUGAUUGACAAACAGCUGGUCUAUCAGAACAAGCCUGUGGAUUCAAAGUGGGUUGACAUUUUUGGAGAAAUGAAAACUAAUUCCUACGAAUCUAAAAACUUACUAGUAAGUAAAAUCCUAAGCAUUCCAUGCUCAAACACUUUUAUUGAGAAGAUAUUUAACUUAAUGUCAUCACAUUGGACCGAUACUAGGUAUCAGUGUAAUGUGAGCUUGAGAAGAGCAGAGCUGCAAAUCAGAGUGAAUUUUACAUUUGACUGUGUUCAGUUUUACCACUACAUAAAAUAAAAGAAUGAUGUCCUAAAGGCUGCAAACAUCUCAGAAAAGUAUUAUUGGAAAAGGAGACAGCAAGAAUAAAAAUAUUCUACUAUAUCAUGGGACAGAAAGAAAUGUGUCAUUAAUUUUUAUUAAAUACAGGAAAUAUCUAGUCCUAUUUUCAUAUUCUUCUUUUAAAGUCUUACAUUAUGUAUCUUUAUUUACAUAUUUGUAUUCACAAUAUCCAUAGCAUAUUAGUGCAGCAGUAUAUGUCUAAUUUAGAAUAAACAUUAUAUAUGUAUAGGGAUGCUUGUUCAAAAUUUCUUUUACUGAUGAGCAGAAGCCUAAAUGAUAAGUCACCAUAUGGGAUCUGGACGACAACAAGAAUCGAGGACCCAAAGAAGGCUUUUUUGUUUGCCUGUUUAAAACUCAAUAAAUCUCCUGUGGCUUUGGUUUUUAUGAAUCAAUCUCCCAAAGCCAGGGUGCCCCUGGAAGAACUGAUAAUAACUGAAUUUCUGAACAUUUGAUGAUGAGGACCAGGCCCAGGAACCACAGGGCACUCAAUGAGUUGUAAACAUCCUGUGAGUUCUUGCCUAAGUAGCCAGUCUUAUCAGUCAGUCAGGCUCUCAAUCUUGCUUUCCCUUUGUCUAAUUCCACCUAUAACAACUUAUGAAAACCUGCAUUACUAUAGACUGGGAAUUCUCCAAAUCCAGAAGUACCUAAGAGUGAAAAUCACAAGAUCUGAGAACUUGAAUAGGAAAAAGAAAUUUCUGUUUACACUAACCUUUCAAAUAUAGCAUUUAUUUUCAUUAGGAAAAUAGGUAGCAAACCACAGCAGUAUUAGUACCUGUGACUCCGUCAUCACUAGAAAUCAUAGAUAUUCACAUGUGACAGAUACCUCUAAUUAUUGUUUAUGUGCACCACUACCUAGAAAUUAAGUAAUUAUUAAACCCACUCCUAGAUCUUGUAAUUUAAUAAAGAGUAUCUAACUAUAUCACAGAUUUAAAUGUUUAAUAUUUUGAUAACUAUUUUAAUAAAAUUGGCUUUCUUGGCAA